NNNNNNNNNNNNNNNNNNNNNGCCUCAUGAUAAGAUACUAUACAAUGCAAAAAGAUAUGAUAAGACUCAAAGCCCCGAAGCAACCUGGAGCUCAGUGACUGCAGUUGAUAUCCUGUACUCUUACUGGGGAGGUUUAUUAGCUUCUGCACCUGCAGCAUGGAAUGCAGGUCCCCCAACAGGGACGUCAGUACGAAAUAAUGUACUGAAUAUGUAAGGCAACAUGUACUAUAUAUGAGAUAAAAGCUCAAAUGAAACCAUACACUGCUGUAGGGUAAAAGACUACCUUUAUGAAUAUUGUGGAGUCAUGCAUCUUAUAACAAUAAUGUUUCUUGUCUAGAGGCUUCGUAGACUAUGUAAAGUAUAGUAUGGUCAUGUAUCAUAUCGUAGACAUUGUGGCUCCAACGGCCUAGUCAUACAACAUCUUUUGGCUUGCUAGUCCCAUUUAUCUUUUGAGGGCAUGUUUAGUAUAAAAGUAACUUAUAAUGUUCAUAGGUAAUGUAUUGCUACAAGUUGGUUCUCCCGAGCCUUACCGGCAACCAGUGCCAGUCCGCCUUAAUAGGAUUUGGGGCAUGACAGGUGCACCGCCGACCGACCUUGAUCUUCUAAGAAGGGUUCGAGUGUGAGCAUACCUGUCGGGACCUGAAAGAUGGUGAACUAUUCCUGAGCAGGGCGAAGCCAGAGGAAACUCAGGUGGAGUCCCACAGUGAUACUGACGUGCAAAUCGUUCGUCUAACUUGGGUAUAGGGGCGAAAGACUAAUCGAACCGUCUAGUAGCUGGUUCCCUCCGAAGUUUCCCUCAGGAUAGCUGGAGCUCGCGUGCGAGUUCUAUCGGGUAAAGCCAAUGAUUAGAGGCCUCGGGGACGCAACGCCCUCGAACUAUUCUCAAACUUUAAAUAGGUAGGACGGCGCGACUGCUUUAUUGAGCUGUGCCACANGGAAUCAAGAGCUCCAAGUGGGCCAUUUUUGGUAAGCAGAACUGGCGAUGCGGGAUGAACCGGAAGCCGGGUUACGGUGCCAAAAUGCGCGCUAACCUAGAUCCCACAAAGGGUGUUGGUCGAUUAAGACAGCAGGACGGUGGUCAUGGAAGUUGAAAUCCGCUGAGGAGUGUGUACCAACUCACCUGCCGAAUCAACUAGCCUCGAAAAUGGAUGGCGCUUAAGCGCGCGACCUACACCGGCCGUCGGGGCAAGUGCCAGGCCCCGAUGAGUAGGAGGGCGUGACAAUCGCUGCAAAACCUUGGGCGCGAGCCCGAGCGGAGCGGCCGUCGGUGCAAAUCUUGGUGGUAGUAGCAAAUAUUCAAAUGAGAACUUUGAAGGACGAAGAGGGGAAAGGUUCCAUGUGAACGGAACUUGCACAUGGGUUAGUCGAUCCUAAGGGUCGGGGAAAGCCCGACAGAUAGCGCGUUUCGCGCGAGCUCCGAAAGGGAAUCGGGUUAAAAUUCCUGAACCGGGACGUGGCGGUCGACGGUAACGUUAGGAAGUCUGGAGAUGUCGGCGGGAGCCUCAGGAAGAGUUAUCUUUUCUGUUUAACAGCCUGCCCACCCUGGAAUCGGCUCAGUCGGAGGUAGGGUCCAGCGGCUGGAAGAACACCGCACGUCGCGUGGUGUUCGGUACUCUCCCGGCGGCCCUUGAAAAUCUGGAGGAUCGAAUGCCGUCCACACCCGGUCGUACUCAUAAUCGCAUUAGGUCUCCAAGGUGAACAACCUCUGGUCGAUGGAACAAUGUAGGCAAAGAAAGUCGGCAAAAUGGAUCCGUAAGUUUGGGAAAAGGAUUGGCUCUGAGGGCUGGGCACAGGGGUCCCAGUCCCGAACCCAUCGGCUGUCGGUGGGACUGUGUCGCAAUAGUAAUUCAACCCAGUACGAGAGGAACCGUUGAUUCACAUAAUUGGUCAUCGCGCUUUGUUGAAAAGCCAGUGGCGCGAAACUACCAUGUGCUGGAUUAUGACUGAACGCCUCUAAGUCAGAAUCUGGGAUAGAAGCGAUGCAUGCGCCCGCCGUCCGCUUGCCGACCUGCAGUAGGGGGCUCGGCCCCCAAGGGCACGUGUCGUUGGCUAAGACACCACGGUGGAAGGGUCGCGGCGGACGCCUUGAAGUACAAUUUCUUUCGAGCGGCGGGCAGAAUCAUUUGCAGACAACUUAAAUACGCGACGACGGAUGUAUAGUGGCCUGCCAUAGUGGUGUCUUUGUCAAGUUGGAUAUCCGUGCCCCGUGGCACCAAGGCAGCUUGGCACCGUGGCGCCAUGUCACCAAGGCACCAUGGCGCCAUGGCACCAAGGCACCAUGGUUCCGUGGCGCCAUGGCACCAAGGCACCAAGGCGCCAAGGCACCGUGGCGCCAUGGCACCGUGGCUCCAUGGCACCGUGGCGCCAUGGCACCAUGGCACCAAGGCACCGUGGCGCCAUGGCACCAAGGCACCAAGGCACCAAGGCACCAUAGCGCCAUGGCACCUAGGCACCUUGGCGCCAUGGCACCUUGCAUACUCAUUUUUCUACAUAUCCGCUCUAAUUUUUUUAUUUUAAAUAUAUUUCGAUGUUACCUCAUAUGUCGUGGCGGUUUUCAUAAUGUCCCGUCGCCUUCUUUUAAAAUUUUUAUUUAAUAUCCUUAAAUUUAAAUAUUAUCGUUACGUCAUUCGUACAAAUGCGCACUCGAUUGUUGGUUUAAGGUUAGUUCAUGCGCUGAGAAUAUUUUCCUAAUUUUUUCAUAUUUGUAUAGAUAUUUUUUCUAUUUUUGAUUUAUUUUUACAUAUUUUUUGAAUUUUAACAAAUGAUAUUUGUAAAAAAAUAUUUUCUCAAUGAAAAUUAUCAUUUACAAAUUACGCGACCUUUUUGUGAGUGCACAGGCUCCGUAUCUCAUCAAAACGUGCAGUUCGGGUCCGCAUAUGUCUGGUAUGAUUCUCUGGCAAAAUCAUGUCUACUCCUGUCACUUGGGUUUUUUUUUAAGCAUAUAUAAGGGGGGUAGAGGUGUUGAAGGCACUUCAAGGCGACUGUCGGUAGUUGGCAUAGGCGCUCAGUGGCCAUGUCGGCGAGCAGCGUGGGCGCAUGGCAGCAUGCAUGGCUAGUCCGUGCGAGCCGUCUGUGCCCGUGUAGAAACGUCGGCGGCGCUUCAUUGUACGCUCGUGGCGGUUAUCGGUGGCGUCGUCCACGAUGGGGCUGCUGGCGCUAGACUUCGG
rnacentral:rRNA from 1 species